rnacentral:rRNA from 1 species
CNGGAUUUAUUGGGCGUAAAGGGAGCGCAGGCGGUCAGGAAANUCUGGAGUAAAAGGCUAUGGCUCAACCAUAGUGUGCUCUGGAAACUNUCUGACUUGAGUGCAGAAGGGGAGAGUGGAAUUCCAUGUGUAGCGGUGAAAUGCGUAGAUAUAUGGAGGAACACCAGUGGCGAAAGCGGCUCUCUGGUCUGUCACUGACGCUGAGGCUCGAAAGCGUGGGUAGCGAACAGGAUUAGAUACCCUGGUAGUCCACGCCGUAAACGAUGAGUGCUAGGUGUUAGGCCCUUUCCGGGGCUUAGUGCUGGAGCUAACGCAAUAAGCACUCCGCCUGGGGAGUACGACCGUAAGGUUGAAACUCAAAGGAAUUGACGGGGGCCCGCACAAGCGGUGGAGCAUGUGGUUUAAUUCGAAGCAACGCGAAGAACCUUACCAGGUCUUGACAUCCCGAUGCUAUUCUUAGAGAUAGGAAGUUACUUCGGUACAUCGGAGACAGGUGGUGCAUGGUUGUCGUCAGCUCGUGUCGUGAGAUGUUGGGUUAAGUCCCGCAACGAGCGCAACCCUUAUUGUUAGUUGCCAUCAUUAAGUUGGGCACUCUAGCGAGACUGCCGGUAAUAAACCGGAGGAAGGUGGGGAUGACGUCAAAUCAUCAUGCCCCUUAUGACCUGGGCUACACACGUGCUACAAUGGUCGGUACAACGAGUUGCAAGCCGGUGACGGCAAGCUAAUCUCUGAAAGCCGAUCUCAGUUCGGAUUGGAGGCUGCAACUCGCCUCCAUGAAGUCGGAAUCGCUAGUAAUCGCGGAUCAGCACGCCGCGGUGAAUACGUUCCCGGGCCUUGUACACACCGCCCGUCACACCACGAGAGUUUGUAACACCCGAAGUCGGU